GAGCCUGAAAGAAUACUUAGAGAUUUUGAAACAAAAAGUGUGAAACAAAUCCUUCUCUUGCUCACGCCACCGAAUUGUGCAACAUGAUACAUGAAGUACAUGAUGCCAGCACAACUGUGUUUGCAACUGUUACCUGUUUCAAACUUUCUAAGAAUUAACUCUGGGGGUUGGCUGCCCCAGAGCUGGAUGAACCAAUCCAGGUGGAGUCUCACAACAUCAGACUUAGGGGGAGAACCACUUUCCUUGAUCUUCUGGCCGCAUCAUUCCUUGGAUGCAGCCACAACACGGCUGACUUUCUGGGCUUGCAAGCAUGUGUCACUGGGUUAUGUUGGACUCCUCAUCCACCUACAACCCCAAUUCUUCUCCAUAGAUCUGCUCUCAGUCCAUCCUCCUCCCAGGCUGCAUUUGUGCUUGGGAUCACCAUGACCCAGAUGCAGGACCUUGCAUUUGGCCGUGUUGAACUUCACAAGGUUCACACGGACCCACCUCUCAAAACUCUUUUGUACAUAUUCAGUCCCUCUGGACGUCUCUCUUCCCUCCAGAGUGGUGACCACCCCACACAGCUCGGUGUCCUCAGUGAACUUGCUGAGGGUGCCCUUGAUCGCCUUGUCCCUGUCACCAACAGAGAUGUUGAACAGUGCUGGUCCCAGCACUGACCCCUGAGGGACACCACUUAGCACUGGUCUCCAUUUGGGCAUCAAG